GAGCUUGCUUGUUUUUCAUCCAGCGAUUAGUUAAUUUCUCUUCGAUGGCAGCGAUUUGCUAGAUCCCACACUCAAUUGCUGGGUGCGCAUAGAUCCGCCCCUGCCUGUGGUUUUGGGGAUUACUUGUUCGUUUCUGAAACGCAUCCAAGCAAGGCCGGACAGCGAUUAGGAGUUUCGCUCACACACCCGCAGUCGCGAGCACUCGUAUUUAUGUUGACUGUCCCCUGUUCAGGUGCUUUGUUAUUAUAGGAUUUAUUAGGAUGCCUCGAGUUGGAGACCAAGAUGCAUCUUCUAUCUUGAGAGUGACCUAUGAGUUGGGAUACCUUGCUUCGAUCAUCGCGGGAUGUUGGGUUGAUGGGAACAUAUAUAAACAUGGCCUUGGUUGUGUGUCAACCUUCAGGAAAUGGAGCGCACACGUUAAAGCUAUAGGGGGGCCUUUCAUGUUAGUCAACUCUGUGUUGUUGAUUCUUGACAAAACCAACUCACCAUAUGCACGGCCUUUUAGCUUUUUAUAGAACCGCACUUCUUGUUCCAUGACACUUAACAAAAGAGAGAACUGGAAGGGCGAACGGGUCUGGCCACCCUUUGGUCGCUGGAGUGGCCCCGUCCCCGGAUCAAGCACUGAAACUGCUGGAUUUUGCCUUCGGCUACUGCUUCUUAUCAGUUUACAUCUGUCUCCAUUGAUGUAUCUUAACAUGGCAAGGGGCAUCUUAACAAAAUAUAUCAUAUUUAUUUUGAGAUGCAUUUGCGUGUUUUGGGUGUGUUAAAAAAAUAGCAGCACAUGAAUGAAUGAAGGCUGAAAAAGAUAGCAGGACCAUGACGGUACGUCAAAUAUCACAGCAAUAUGAUACGCGCGCACACACACACACAAACGGAGGCGGAAGUAGAAACUGAAACUUGGCAGCUUAGAAUUCAGAUGUUUCGUUGACAAGAACUAAGAUCCACAGGCUAAAAGACAUUGCGAGUAACCAGCAGGAUGCAAGUUUUCAUGGCUGCCGUGACGAUCUUGGAAGAAUGGAGAGGGGCCAUUUUAGGAUGCCAUUUUAGGA